rnacentral:tRNA from 1 species
GUGGCAGAGUGGUCGAAUGCACCGCACUCGAAAUGCGGCAUACCUGCAAGGGUAUCGUGGGUUCGAGUCCAAGGAAGAGUCAGCUGCCAGCA